CGCGAACGCUGUCGGCGUGCCUAACACAUGCAAGUCGUGGGGCAGCAGGCCGGUUCCUUCGGGAACUGGUGCUGGCGACCGGCGAACGGGUGAGUAACGCGUGAGCAACCUACCCCGAGGAGGGGGAUAACCCGGGGAAACCCGGGCUAAUACCCCAUAAGCGCACGGCUCGCAUGAGCUGUGUGAAAAGGGUGGCCUCUGCACUGCAAGCUGCCGCCUCGGGAUGGGCUCGCGUCCCAUCAGGUAGUUGGUGGGGUAACGGCCCACCAAGCCUACGACGGGUAGCCGGCCUGAGAGGGUGGUCGGCCACACCGGGACUGAGACACGGCCCGGACUCCUACGGGAGGCAGCAGUGGGGAAUCUUGGGCAAUGGGCGCAAGCCUGACCCAGCGACGCCGAGUGGAGGAAGAAGCCCUUCGGGGUGUAAACUCCUGUCGCCGGGGACGAUGCGUGUGUGGGUUAAUAGCCCACACACGUGACGGUACCCGGAGAGGAAGGGACGGCUAACUACGUGCCAGCAGCCNCGGUAAUACGUA
rnacentral:rRNA from 1 species